UGGAAAGUAAGUAAUGAUAUAUAGGUUUAAAUAAAAGCCAUCUGAUGAGAAUUUAUGGUUGGUAGGGCAUGUCUCCCCAGAUCCCUUAGAUAGGAAUCUCGGCAAGAUAAAAGAAAUCAGAGCUUAGUUCUCACCUGCACGUUAUCCAGGGGGUUUCUUUCCUCUUCUCUGGAGCUCUUUCCCACUAUUUUGCUCAGUGUGAGAUAAUUGCUCAUUGCUGUUUGCCAUAAACUCUAUGGAUCCCUGCCAAUAGCACUACAGAUGGAGCAGGAUGGCCUCUAUCAAAGCAGGUGAGAGAAACUCCCAUGAGGGAGGCCAAUGUGUCAUUUCCUGGGACUGAAAGGUCAGUAUUCCCCUUAUUUACCGUUCCCCAGCAGGCUGCUCUGCAGGUCACCUGGCAAAUGCACUUUUCCUCCUUAGAUCCAGUCUGAAUGUACUCACAAAUGGCACUCUAAAAAUGGCAUGCCACACAUAAUUGCGUGUGUCCGUUGCCAAUCGAUUUUGUGGGUGACCAGUCAGCUUCUUUGAUGAGGGUGCAGAGUAAAUGCUACCAAGGUUACUGGUUGAUUUCUCCUUUAUGGUUACAUAUUGGAUCACCAUCAGGCCUGAGUUGUUAGACCGAAGGACAAGUGCCAGUAGAAGAUGCAAUACCACACGGCAGGAAAACACAGUAUCUAGGUGUUUUGACAAGUGGGCAGAACAUCACGAUAAAUAAUCUGGAAAGAGAGAUGAAGUCAAGCAGGCUACAUAUUUCCACCUACUUUGCUGAAUUUUAUAUCAGGAAUAACCAAAGCCACUGGAGCAGGAGCUAGUAGCACAGUCUCCUGGAGGUUCUGAGACAUUAGUAUGAUUAUGAAAACAGGGUUGAAGGCAGAUGUUCGGUUAUCACAAAUGGGAUAUUAAUAUGGGAAUUGAAACAAGGUGAGUCAAAGGCUCCACACUGGGUCCCAAUGUCACGGCUGAGACUGUGCUGCUGUAUUUUUUUUGCACCUAGGACUUGAGAGAGGGCUUGGCCUUCAUGUGGAAAUCAGUGGUUCUUAGAUGACGGAAGAGGAAUGCAACUUUUGGGAAUCAGGCUGGACUCAAGAGACCCUGCCUAAUGGAGGUGCAAAUAGGUGUCCUCAGCCAUAGGGAGAUGGAUAAGCAUGCGUGUAGUUAGAGAUUCUCAAAUGUGAGCAUGCAACAAAUCACGUCUUGUUGGACACAGAACACUGGGCUCUACCCCAAGACUUUCUCACUCAGGGGGACUGAAAAAAUUGCAUUUCUAAUGCAUUUACAGCUGAUGCCGAUGCCCAUGUUCCAGUGCCCACACAUUGUUUGUCACUGAUGUAGACUAAUGCAUUUCUUCAUUACUGGAAGAGUAACAGAAGAAUCUAUCCUGGCUUCUAGUUCCAGAAGGCAGACUAGACCUAGGUGUUUUUUUUUGUUUGUUUGUUUUGUUUGUUUUUUGUUUUUUGUUUUUUGUUUUUGCCCUCCGUGCUGAGAGGGCAAUAAAAUAAUAGUAAAGGAAUAAGCCCCAAAUAUGGAAGAGAAUCUCAGAUUUUAGAAGAAAGAAAUGUAUGCCAUCCAAGAAAGAGGAUGUAUGUGUGUUGACAGACAAAACAAAGUGGAAAACAGCAGGCUAGGAAAUGCAGCAGGAGUCUGUAAGAAGAGGGAAAGUUGAUUUUCCCAGAUGAUUCUUGGAGAGUUCUAGGCUCAUAGUUAGCAGGAAUAAUGGAAGUUGGCAGUUGGAAAGGUAACGUUAAAAGAGAGUGGAUGUGGGGGAAGUAUUAUACAAAACAUUAGCUACAGAAUGGAUUGUACCAGUUGACUCACCAUAAUCCAAUAUCUCACCCUCACACUGUUCAUUCAGGCAGAGGGUAAGUCAUUCAGCUUUUUACUCUUAGAUAAAAUAAAAAACAUAUGAAAUGGCAUGGUAGCUCAUACCUGUAAUUCCAGUGAUUUAGGAGGCCAAGGCAGGGGAAUUGCUUGAGGUCAGGAGUUCAAGAACAGCCUGGGCAACAUAAAAAGACCCUGUCUCCACAGAGAAAUGGAAAAAAGUAGGCCAGGCGUGGUGGCUCACGCCUGUAAUCCCAGCACUUUGAGAGGCCGAGGCACCUGAGGUCAGGAGUUCAAUUUUGAGGCGGAUCACCUGAGGUCAGGAGUUCAAGAUCAGCCUGGCCAACAUGGUGAAACCCUGUCUCUACAAAAAUACAAAAUUAGCCAGGCAUGAUGGCAGGUGCCUGUAAUCCCAGCUACUCGGGAGGCUGAGGUGGGAGAAUCACUUGAACCCAGGAGGUGGAGGUUGCAGUGAGCCGAGAUCACGCUAUUGCACUCCAGCCUGGGGGACAGAGUGAGACUCCGUCUCAAAAAAAAGAAAGGAAAAAGUUAGCUGGGCACGGUGGCCUGUACCUGUAGUCCUGGCUACUCGGGAGUCUGAGGUGAGAGGAUCACUUGAGCCCAGCAGUUCGGAUUGAUAGUGAGCUACAAUCCCGCCACUGCACUCUAGCCUGUGUGACAGAGCGAGAUCCUGUCUCAAAAACAAAAUGAACCAAAAAAACAUAUGAACAAACUUGACAAACUGGAAAUACUUUUAUUUAAUAAAAACGAAAAAAUUUCCUGGGAAGAAAUAAGACUACUGUGGUGUAGGCUGGUAUCCCUAUUCUCAAAAUUGGAGGCCUUCUAAAAUGCAAUCUCCCAGUUAACAAUCCCCAUCUAUGUGCAAAGAAUCUUUAUCCAGUAAAAAGUCUAGCAGGGUAAGAUCUACAUGUAGGCCACCAACUGACUUUAAUUAUGAAAGCAUAACCAAAGACCAGCAGACAUGUGACAAAAACAGCAACAGAUUAAGAGAUAACAGAGAUCAGAGACCAGUUGAUCCUGGAAAAAACAGGUGGUUCUGGAAACAGAUUAACACAUGAAAAGUCUAUAGUUAGUAUCCUCAGAGUGAUGAGGAGAUACUGACUAUAACACAAAAGCAAAUAAGUAUGGAAAAGAAAAUGAAAGAGUAAGAAAGAGCUCUUAGGCAUUAAACAUGAUUGCCAAUGUAUAAUUUCAAAUAGGAGUUUUAGAAGAUGGAGCCAAUGACGUCUCAGAAUAGAGAGAAAAUCUGUAGCAAAUGUGAGAAAAGAUAAACAACGCGUAGGAUAUAUGUGGGAGAACUAACAUCUAGCUAAUAGCAGUUCUAGAGAGAAUGGAAAAUAAAGGGGAAGAAAUAAAGACAUACUGGAAAUUCAUUUCCUAAAGCUGCAAAAAAGAUACAUGCAUUAUAUUGAAAGGAUCCAAUGAAUAUGGAGAAAUGAAUGGAAAAAGACAUUAUAAAUGUUUAAUUUAUACACAUUAUAAUUUAAUUAAAUGUAAUUUACACACAUUAUAAAAUUUUAGGACACAGUAGAUAAAAGAAGAUCCUAGAAGGUUUGAGGGCAGGGGCAGGAAUUUACCUGCAGAAAAUGUAUGAAAUCACAUUUCUCUGUAGCGCUCUGGAAGAUCAGAGACAAUGGAAAGACUAAUAAAAGGAAAGACAAUUUUCAAUUUAGAAAGUGAAACCCUUCCAAGAAGACUAAAAUUAAUACUACCCCAAAUUGGAAGGAGGAUAGAGUGAGAUAAAUUUUAUAAAGAGUUGGGAAGAGAAUUACUAGAAAAAAAUAAAAAUUAAACCUAUUAUUAAAAGUUUGCUUCUGGAGAGUGGGACUGAUGUGUGUCUGUGCAUGGCAGAGGGUAGGAGUCAUUUUUCAUUAUAAAUCCUUCAGAUUAUUUUAUUUUUUACUCAGGGCAUGCGUUACUUGUCCAAAUUUUAAAAGAAUAAACAAAAUCCAAAUGUUCUUUGCCACUGAAAGGGGACUGCAGUUUUAAGAUAACAUGCAUGAUGAACACACAAUUUUUAUUAUGAAUUCUUCCAUGAAAGAAGCAUUGGCUGAAAUAGCUGCCUGUUCUAAAAAAAAAAAAAAUCUAAAGAUUACAGUGCAGACCUAGCUGUUUAUAUAAGCAACAACAGUCCCUUUUCCAGCUCUGUUAAGCUCAUCUGCUUAGCUGUAUAAGAAGUCAGGAGUCAAAUUAAAGAGAGGCACUUUAUUUUCAUCCUAUGAUAAGUGGGCUCAAAGCUUAGUAUACUUUUGCAAACUCAUAAAAGAUGCAAAUACAAAUGUGAAAACAUUGCAAUAUUGAUUGCCAGUACUUAAAAUGAAACUGUACAUCACUAAAUAAGCUUUUUACAAAAUAUAUGGCAAAUAAGAGAAUGAUUUAUCAUAAGAUCAAAUUGCACAUACCCUGAGUUAUGGAGCAUAUUGUUCGGUAACAAGUGUGGCUUCAGAAAAGCAAGCAUUCUCAAAUCGAAUUUCCUUCUAUGACAGAGAGACAGGCUUGGUAAAUGAAAGAGAGGUGAUAACAGUAAUCUCAAAUGACUGGAAGAAAACUCAUAUAGAUGGAAGGGAACACUGUGCAUGCUAGAUGGCUAUGAACUGCUACCCAUUUUCCUGAGGAAUAUAAUUCAGAUUGGGGUGUAUUCAUGCACUGCUAUCCCCUAGAUAGAUUGUUAAGUGGGAUCCUUUAAUGGUUAGUUUGGGAAUAAGUUCUUUGAUAUUCUCGUGGGUGAUAGAGUACGGGAUGUUCCUUAAAAGAACAGUGAAAAAUAAGCUGAGCAGAGGGUGAGAGUGAACAGAAACCUUUGACAAGGUCUAUAGGUAACUCUGUUCGUUGGCCAGUUCUGUUCCUAUUUCUGACCAGUUUGACACAAUUGAGUAAUUUACAUGUUAAAUGGAUGACUAUAAUAAUGGUUGCACUGGCACAUGUAGACAUAAGUAUCAGAAUUUAAAGUGAAGCUGGUACACUGGAGAAGUCACUGGCGGAAAGAAUGACCAGGGCAGGAAUAAAAUAGGCCCAGAGAGAAAGAGCAGGGAACAUCUGUUUAGAUAUAAGGAAAUCAGGAAAUGAUACCUGGAUUCUAACAAGUAACAAACUGACCACAAUACAGGGAGACAGACUUACAUGCUUAAUUGAGUGCUGUGUGAUUCGUUACUUAUAAAACAUAAAGGAUAGGGGAGGACAUUGCUAGGGUUCAUGUGAAAACAAAGAAAGAAAGUUAAGACCUGUGACGAGAGGACGAAGAAAGUGAAAUGCUUCAGAAUAAAGGAGAGAACACCUGAGGAGGAUUUAAAUAUGGUCUUCAGAAAUAUGAUGAAAUUUUUCACGGAGCAUGGAUAUCCUUUUCUACUGAGGACAACACAGUAGGACAUAGUUAAAAUUUAGGAAGAAACUCCUGCUAUUAUUGCCAACGUAUAACAGAGAUCAUUUGAGCCUCUUCUGAUAUUUGAAUAAUAUGGCAGAUGGCAUUCCCAACAUUAACAAUUCAGGAUUGCUUGUCAUAUAUAUAUGACAAAGAUAUAAGAAAUUGGUGCCGGGCGCAGUGGCUCACCCCUGUAAUUCUAGCAGUUUGGGAGGCCAAGUCGGGAGGAUCACCUGAGGUCAGGAGUUUGAGACCAGCCUGGGCAACACGGUGAAACCCCGUCUCUACUAAAAAAUACAAAAAAAUUAGCCGGGCAUGGCGUCGUGCGCCUGUAGUCCCAGCUAUUCAGGAGGCUGAGGCAGGAGAAUGGCUUGAACCCGGGAGGCGGAGGUUGCAGUGAGCCGAGAUGACGCUACUGCACUCCAGCCUGGGCGACAGAGCGAGACUCCGUCUCCAAAAGAAAAAAGAAAUUGGAUCACACAGUUAUGAAAGCUGACAUGUCCCAAGAUUUGAAAUUAGCAAGCUGAAGGCCCAGGAGAGUCAAUGGAGUAAUUCAGUUCAAAUGCUGGCCGGCCUGAGACCCAGAAAGAGCUGAUGUUUCAGUUUGAGUCUGAAGAGAGGAAAGAACCAAUGACCCAACUCAAAGCAGUCAGGCAGCAGGAGUUUCCUCUUAUUCAGCCUUUUCAUUCUAUGUAGGUCUUUAAUUAAUUGGAUGAGGCCCACCCACAUUAGUAAUAUUCUCUGGUUGCUCAGAUGCAAGAUUAAGACAGGGCAAGUACUGGGAAUAGCAAUUGUUAUUUCUAUUAGGAAAUAUUGGAGGCAAUUGGAUUAAUAUGCACACAAUAAUGCUUUAUAAAAAUACUGUAUGAAACUUAAAGUUUCAGACAAAUGUUAGUGGCAUAUAAUGAUGUUAGAGAAGUAGAUCAAAUUAUUUUCUGGCUCAGUGUACGCAUUUUGAAGUCAUCUAGAGAAACAUGAAUACAAAGAGCAAGUCAAUAGCAUCAAAAAAUGAACACAGAGUGAUAGAGAAUGAUAUAAAAUCAAUCAUAACAUUAAAUGCAAAUAAGAAAGGUCAACAGCUAUAUUAAAAUACAAAAUCACAACAAGACAUAUAAGAUGAAUGUGGAUUUAUACACAAAAAAUAAUUGGAUCACUAAGGUCUGUUCGUUAAUGUAGAAUAUGAGGCUAAGAGUUGUUAUUUUGGUAUUGGAGAAAGUAAAUUUUACAAGCAAAUUGAUUAUCACAGUAAAAGAUAAACAACCCAAACCAAAAUGUUGAAUUCACGUGUAACAACUAUAGUACCACAAACAUUUAAAAAAAUAAAAAAAUAAAAAACCUGGACAGAUUUCUGAGUGUCAUUAGAGACGUUUACUCUGCUCACGUGUCACUUUCCUCUUUGACAUUCAUAUUUUUUAUCCACUUUCCCGUCACUUGAUAUUACACCCACAAAUCUACCUCAGUAUAGUAUUAUUCCUCUAAUGCUGGUUCUCAGGAACCCUUCCCCAUAAUUGGGAUCUGUUUAUUCUCAGAAAAAAAUAAAGAAAACAAAGACUUGAAGUAGAAAUUACAUUAUUUAACCAUGCAAAAAGAAAAAGAAAAUUUUAUUUUAGGGUAGAAUAAUAUAUUUUAUUGUUAAGUCUGCAUAAAUUUUUUAAAUAGAGAAUAAUCACAGUGGCCGGGCAUGGUGGCUCACACCUGUAAUCCCAGCACUUUGGGAGGCCGAGGCUGGUGGAUCGCCUGAGGUCAGGAGUUUAAGACCAGCCUGGCCAACAUAGUGAAACCCCGUCUCUACUAAAAAUACAAAAAAUUAGCUGGGCAUGGUGGCGGGUGCCUGUAAUCCUACCUACUCAGGAGGCUGAGGCGGGAGAAUCGCUCGAACCCGGGAGGCGGAGGUUGCAGUGAGCCGAGAUUGCACCAUUGCACUCCAGCCUGGGCAACAAGAGCGAAACUCCAUCUCAAACAAAAAAAAAAAAAAAAAAGAAGAAAAAAAAGAAAAUAAUCACAUAUGUGGACACAGAGACACUAAGAUAACAAAAGUAAUUGUGGUUUUUGUCAUUACUUUCAAUGGCAAAAACUGCAAUUAUUUUUGCACUAAACCAAUACUACAUUUUAAGAUCAGUAGAAAUGUUAAAAGUUGUAACACAGGACAUCCACAUGGAAAUGGAGCGCUCUCUAAAUAAUUUCUGGAUCAAGAAGGAAAUCCAGUACAAUAAUAGCAAUAAAAAACAUAAAUGUAACAUCAAAAUUAAUGUGUAUCAGUAAGUACGGUUAAAUUCCUUUCUCUCUGAAUAUGCAUAGUAAUAAGAUAAGAAAUAUAAAAAGAGAAUAAGAAAUACAAAAACAAUGAAUUCAGAACACAGAAAACACAGAAAAAUAACAUAAAAUACAGAAAAAAUAAAAAUAAAAGAAUAAGGAAAGGGACAAACUACACUGAAAUACAUACAUAAAAUAGAAAACUAUGAAGAGAUUGAGAACUAGUAGAUAAUUCAUGACCAAAAUUGACAAAAUGUAUACAUCAGUGGCUCAAUUAAUUAAAAAAUAAAUAAAUCACAAAUAAAAAUAUAAAAAUCGCAUACUAUGUAAUGCAGUACAACUACUAUCCAUAGGAAAAAAAACGAAGAAUUUGUCAAAGAUCUAUCCCUAAAGUAGCCACCAGAUCCAUAUAGUUUGCAUGAAAUUUCUACCAAAUCAUUAAGGAAUACAUAAUUUGCGUGUUAUAGAAACUUUCAGCAUAAAUCAGUGAGAUAAAAACAAUGAAAAUACCAUUCACUGAAGUAUGAAGUCAAACAAAAGAGCGGACAGCUUAGGGCGGAGGAGAUGAUGAAUUUGGUUGUUAAUAUGCUGAGGUUGAAAAGCUUGUUGGACGCCGUGUUUGGAGAUUUUAGUGGGAUAUUGGCUAUUCAUUCAUUUAUAUGUGGACUAUUUUUUGAAAGCCUCUGUGUCAGGCACUGAAUACAAAAUGGUCUGCAUUCUUAAAAGACUAUUAUGUAAUGAAGGAGACAAACAAUGGACAGGUAUGAACAAUACAUUGCUGAAAAUGUUAUGUUAUAUAGGGCUGCAGCUUAUUGUGGUGAGUAAGUGAGAGAAACUUACAUAGUGGUAUCAGGGCUGUAAGACGUCAUCUGGCUUUAGAAAUGGUCUGAUCUGUUAAACAUUAGUCUAAUGUGCAGUGCCUAAAGAAGCUGCAGCAAAUGAGUCUAUUAGAGACACCCAAAUUAGCCACUCUGUCGAGAACAAGGGGAAUAUUAUGGUCGGUUUGUUUCUCUCGACUUUAACAGAUCUUUGGAUAUUGGCUAAGGGGAUUGGGGUGGGACCUAAUCCUGGGGAGAAGUGACUGCACACAGGCAAGAAAAUUGCAAAAAUUCCUAUUGUCUUACUUUGGAUUCUCCCAAAUUAGACCCAGAGAUAAGGAUACAUGUGCAGAUUAUUUAUUUGCAAGGUGAUCUGAAGAACUAUGGUGAGAGACUGGGGAAAUAAGAGAGGGAAAAAGAGGAAAGUCAAUAAAAUAGAAGAAAGCCUGUGGUCCAUUGGGCUCAGACCCGGAGUUGGGGGGUCCUCUCAGAGCAGGCCCAGCAGGCGUCUACAACCAAAGAAUGCCUGCGGGCAGGAAACAUGGGAUGCAGUUUAUGUAGGAACUCACCUAGGAGAACUCCCGGGGAAGCCCUGGGGCUAGAGUUGGGCACUGGUAGCUUCUGUAAAAUAUCUCCAGCAAGACUCCUGUUUCAUUAAGGAAAAGGGUUAAACAAACAGAAAUUAUGCCAGAACCUCUGUUAUAUGAAUGGUGAAGACGUUGGUGGUGGUGGGAUUUGGAUUUUGAGGGAAACUGCAGUUUGGUGAGUGUGUUGACCACAAGCAUUCAUUUUAGGCACACCUCAUACCUAACUCAUAACCGCAAGACAAAUUUCAUUCUCCAGCAUUCAAGGGUCUGAGUCUGUUGACUCAGUGGUCUAUAAUUGAAUGGAGGCCAGAAACAUAAUUGAUUUGUCUUUGUAUUCUCAGUGCCUGAUGUAUUCUCAGAUACUUAAUAUGUGUUUGUUGAAUUGAAUUGUUAUCGUCCUCUUGGUUAGAAAGCAUACGGGGCUGUAUCUACUGACAGGAGUUGGGAAAAACCCGGAUGACACGUUUUAGUUAUGAUUACAUACAGAGGUGAAUUGUCAAUCAGAUUUAUACAAGACAGAGAUCUUACCCAGAACUGUGAUUUGCCAAUGAUUAGCAAAGGAUACCCAAAAGAAGCCGCAGUGAACAGCACAUUGAUAUUGAAAUGCUCCAGGUCCAUGAGCUGCAGCUUCCUAAUCCCCUUUCCAUGUCAGUGUAUGUUGGUGUGGAAUAACAAGGACAACUGUGAGUGGUAAAAGUUAGCCCAAGAAAUUCACUUAGUUUUGGGGCCUCUUGUUUUUGUAUUCUGCUAGCCAUAUAGCCAGAAGGCCUAGGUUGCAUUCUUCAGUCAGCUCAUUAAUACAUAAACUAGUUAUUUAGAAGAAACAAUCCAAACAGAUCAAGUAUACUGUGAGAAAAGAACUCUUUAGAUAAGAUCUGGAGGAGUUUAUCUUCUAGCUAGUAAAUUCUUUCAGUGUUUUAAUAAAGAGGUCUGGUUGGGAUCAAAACCAAUUAAAAUAUCCCUAAGGUGAAAGGAGUCAAAUUACAGAUCCACUGUUAACCCUUUUAUUCCCUACCGUGGAUCCAGAAUUCUUAAAUACAAUUUUAGCAUACAUAAUGUUAUUACAUUAGAAUCAUUUUCCAUUUUGACCGUAAUUCCAGUGAAAAUUGAGCUUGAUAAGAGCAAAGACUUCAUCUGCUUACUUCACCGGUGCAUCUCCACCAGUGCUGACAGCAGAGCUCAGCAAAAGUUUGUUGAAUGAAUACAUGAAUGAACCCCGGCAUUAUUUAUGGUUUACCUUUGCAGUUUAUCACACACUAAAAUGUAAAAUAUUACGUAACUAUUUUAGUAUAUGCCAAAAACCAUACAAAACAUCUCUUAUUAAUUUAAACUGAAAAUCAA
rnacentral:lncRNA from 10 species